CUUCCAAUCUCCUUAUAUAAACCACUCCCUGCCCAUCCCUUAGUCCUACACCUUUAAUUCUCCCUCUCUGCGCCAGAUCUGCACUUCUCUUCCAGUUCUAAUUUUCUCUCCCUUUUGAUCUUCCUCUGAUCCUCAUCUCCUAAUUCCUAGGGUUUAGUUUCUUAUUUUUAUUGGAUUGAAGCUUCCAAGCAUCUUAUGAUCAUCUACUCGAUCGCAUGGGGUACGCGGCCUAUUGAUGACCCUCUUCGUAUCCUUCCACAGCUUUCUUGAACUGCAUCGAUCUAUGAGCGGCUCGCGGCUCUUCGCAUGCACAGAUACCAUCUUUGAUCUCUUCGUUGCGGUUCAAUAAAGCUGUGGGAUGAUACAGACAGGGUCAAGAAAGUUCAAGAUCUCCGGCUUUGGUUAAUGUUUCUUUUGUGAUCAUCAAGAACUUGUAAUGUGUGGCGGAUGCUUUGUUUAUACUUAAUUGUAUAUAUACUUUUCGCACAGUACUCAUAUAGUAGGAAGUAUUAUGGAAGUAUAGAUCCCUCAGAACCCUUAUGCUCGA